rnacentral:rRNA from 1 species
GCGAUCAUACCAGCACUAAUGCACCGGAUCCCAUCAGAACUCCGAAGUUAAACGUGCUUGGGCGAGAGCAGUACUAGGAUGGGUGGCGAGAGCAGUACUAGUAUGGGUGACCCUCUGGGAAGUCCUCGUGUUGCACCU